UAUCUAUUAAUUUUUAAAUUUGAAACUUAGAAGACUUACAUAACCAAUAUCUCUAAACUCCGAAGAUAAUCCCAAAAAACAGCCCCAGACCCCUCUAAGCCUCACGAACCAUUAUUAAGCUACUCCAUAGACACAUUUUCUCAAACUCUCCAUCUACCGAUUAUCAAGAUCAUGACCCGUUGCGACAACGUUCUAGAGACUGUCGACGAAUGUUGAUGAAAGGCAGCAAGACCACAGUGACUAGUUGCAACAAGUGACGCUAAUCGAUGAAACCUAUAAGGUUGAGUGAGAGAGAUGGCACGAGACUUUCACUCAAUUGUUGGCAGUCGUCGACGUGCAGUGGUUGACGGCAAGCAACGACCAUCGAGGGGUAGUAACUGACGGCGACUAAUCGCAUAGGUUGGAGCUGAUGAAGGAAAAGAUGGGGUCUGCGUUGCUGAGUGGUCUGCACGAAGGAGAAGAUGGGGAAGGGGGAACUCAGGUUUGAAACCAGACAUUAUUGCCCUCUGAUCUCCGCUGACUCUAAUCCUAGGCUGUCUCACUCCGUCGCUCGUCCGCGCUUUAGCUCAGUCGUCCAAUGAGCCGAGUCCGCCGCUGCCAGAUCUAAAGUCACGCUAUCUCUUUCUCUCAGUCGUUUCCUUCUUAGCCGAGUGCGACUCUGACCAGAAACCGCUGUUUGCACUCCACCGUCGCUCGCCGUCUUCGUUCCAACGUCAUCGCCGCUGCCACUGCCUUGGUUCUCAUUGGAAUUUUGAGAUUUGGGUAAGAUUGGGUUUCUUUAGGUUAAAUUGAUGUUUUGGGAGGUCUUAGGCUAUUGUCUAGCGGGCCAGAAACGAUUCCGAUUUGAACGAAGUUUUGAAGCCGGGUACGUGUUGCCCAACAUUACAAGGAUCGAUUUUCGGAGGAUUUUGGUUGGGCUACUUAAUUGAGUAUUGGAAGUGAUUUUGGGUCAAGCCACAGUUUCGGUAUUGAAUUAAGGUUGGGUUUGGGAAAGAGAAGAUAAGCGCACUUGAGUAUACUUUGGGCCUAAAUUCCAAGGUAAGUAAUCUUACUAUUGGAACUGCCUUCGAUUUAAUUAGGAUAAUUUUGAUGGUCCUAAGACUCUAAAUCGUGAUGCCUAAUUAGAGAGGAUAUAUGACCAUAUGAUAGAUAUGUUUGAAGUAGGACAUGUAUAUGAGCAUGAUCUAGAAUUCUAUUAGAUAAUAUAAGAGGAUGAAUGAUCAUGAACCAUAUUUUAUAUGACAAGGUAUAAGGAUGUAUGUGCUUAAUGUUAUGUUUUAUAUUGUGGGACUCUAUUUUAUAUUACAUGAUAUUUAUGUUAGUGAUAAUUGCCUCCUACCCGUAGUCAUGAUAUUUAUGUUAGUGAUAAUUGCCUCUUACCCGUAGUCAUGUAUCCUCUUAAAGUUAGUGCUGCCUUUGGGAUUCACUAGAGGUUUGUGUCUCCUUGGGGAUUCACCGAAGGUUAGUGUCUCCUUUGGGAUUCACCAGAGGUUAGUGUCUCCUUUGGGAUUCACCAGAGGUUAGUGUCUCCUUCGGGAUUCACCAGAGGCUAGUGUCUCCUUCGGGAUUCACCAGAGGCUAGUGUCUCCUUCGGGAUUCACCAGAGGCUAGUGUCUCGAUUCACUAAAGGUUUGUGUCUCCUUCAAAAUUCACUAAAGGUUUGUGACCUCUUUGGGAUUUACUAGAGGUUGUGAUUGCUUUCGAGACUUCACCAGAGGUUGUGAUUGCUUUCGAGACUUCAUCAGAGGUUGUGAUUUCCUUCGGGACUUCAUCAGAGGUUAGUGAUCUCCUUCGGAAUUUCACCAAAGGUUUGUGGGUACAUCUUACCUAUGGUAAGGUGGGUUUAAUUAUUCACUAAAUAAUCAUCCAUGAUAAGUAGAGGUUUUGCAUGUCCCUCUAGAAUGUAGCAUUUAUUAGACAUAAAUACUUAGCCUAACCCUUGUAGUGAGGUUACUUACUGGGUAUUUUAUACUCACUCUUUAUUAUGUUAUAUCUUACAGGUAGAAAGAACACACUGGUAAAUGAUAGUCGGAAUUCGUGAUCGUGCUAACGGGAUUAUUCUGAUGCUUUCACCCAUGUCUUUUCUAUGUUUUCAUGUUUUAAAACUUAAUCUAUUGUUGAAUUUAGAAACUUCCAAUUUUUGCAUGGUUGGUUAUUUUAGAUGAGAUUUUCUAGUGAUGUUUUACUUUUUUUUUUUUAAAAAAAAAAAAAAAUUAAGGGUAACUUGAUCAACAAUUUUCAAGUAUUUGAUUUCAAUUUUAUGUCCUUUAUUCGAUUUUAGCCAAUUAAUGAAAAGUGUCGUUUUGAGAUUUAUGCAUACAUGUAGUAACGACCUGGUAUAAGUCCUAGUGAGCUGGGUUGUUACAGUUGGUAUCAGAGUCCAUUUUGGGUACUGUAGAUUAACUUACUAUGUAAGUCCAGAUUGUCCUUAUGGCCCAUGUAUGGAUUCCUCGUCAUCGCAAGGACUAUCAUGCAAUGGAGAAGUCUGCAUGAGAUGCACCUCAUGCUUGGAGAAUUGAAGCAAAAUUUUAGUGGGUUUAGUGUGAGCAACUUCAUGAAGAGACUAAACGAUCAAGCGUCGAGUUACUAUACGAUAGAACUUGUUAGUACACAAUCGAGUAUCGAGCCUAUAUGAUAGGCUUCUUCUUCUAUACGAUUGUUUGAUCGCAUAUUCGAUCGUCUACUCGAUCGUUUACUUCCUCCAUUCCUUUAUCAAAAAACAUACAGAGCCCACAACUCCUGAAUUAUCACACCGAGAAUACCAAAGUAAUCUUGUGGUGGUGUCUUGUUCUGUUCGAGGAUCGAGGAUUGAGUUUCACUCGCUGGUGAUCGAGGAUCUUCCAGUUGAUCAUUGCGUUCGUGCUGUUUGGAUGCGUUCGAGUUUGAUCGAGCGAAAUACAUGAAGAAAGAGUUCUUCAAAGGUAGUGGUCACUCCCCAAAAGACGCUUCUGCUGUUGCUCUGCCACUCAAGACCAAGAUGUUAGAAAGUCUAAGUGUGGGAUUGUAUAAAAUAGUACGCAUGUAUUAUGUCAUGUGUAUAAGUUGUAUUACUGAAGAGUAAUGUAGAACUCUGUUAAUGAUUGUUAUUGUCUUAAGUUGAUGGUUGAGUA